rnacentral:snRNA from 1 species
AUGAUGUGUCACCCAUAUGGA